ACAUUACCGAGUGAGGGCCCUCUGGGUCCAACCUCCCACCCGUGUUUAUUUUACCUUGUUGCUUCGGCGGGCCCGCCUUAACUGGCCGCCGGGGGGCUCACGCCCCCGGGCCCGCGCCCGCCGAAGACACCCUCGAACUCUGUCUGAAGAUUGAAGUCUGAGUGAAAAUAUAAAUUAUUUAAAACUUUCAACAACGGAUCUCUUGGUUCCGGCAUCGAUGAAGAACGCAGCGAAAUGCGAUACGUAAUGUGAAUUGCAAAUUCAGUGAAUCAUCGAGUCUUUGAACGCACAUUGCGCCCCCUGGUAUUCCGGGGGGCAUGCCUGUCCGAGCGUCAUUGCUGCCCUCAAGCCCGGCUUGUGUGUUGGGCCCCGUCCUCCGAUCUCCGGGGGACGGGCCCGAAAGGCAGCGGCGGCACCGCGUCCGGUCCUCGAGCGUAUGGGGCUUUGUCACCCGCUCUGUAGGCCCGGCCGGCGCUUGCCGAUCAACCCAAAUUUUUAUCCAGGUUGACCUCGGAUCAGGUAGGGAUACCCGCUGAACUUAAGCAU
rnacentral:rRNA from 1 species